GACGAACGCUGGCGGCGUGCUUAACACAUGCAAGUCGAACGGAAAGGCCCUGCUUUUGUGGGGUGCUCGAGUGGCGAACGGGUGAGUAACACGUGAGUAACCUGCCCUUGACUUUGGGAUAACUUCAGGAAACUGGGGCUAAUACCGGAUAGGAGCUCCUGCUGCAUGGUGGGGGUUGGAAAGUUUCGGCGGUUGGGGAUGGACUCGCGGCUUAUCAGCUUGUUGGUGGGGUAGUGGCUUACCAAGGCUUUGACGGGUAGCCGGCCUGAGAGGGUGACCGGCCACAUUGGGACUGAGAUACGGCCCAGACUCCUACGGGGGGCAGCAGUGGGGAAUAUUGCACAAUGGGCGGAAGCCUGAUGCAGCAACGCCGCGUGCGGGAUGACGGCCUUCGGGUUGUAAACCGCUUUCGCCUGUGACGAAGCGUGAGUGACGGUAAUGGGUGAAGAAGCACCGGCUAACUACGUG
rnacentral:rRNA from 1 species